UUUUUCGCCGCCACCAUGGCCUAAUUCUUUGCGGGUGAACAGUAGCCUGACCUGUACAAAAAACUCACCUCCAGAUCGACAGACAAAUUUCAUCUCUUCCCUGCAACAGUAUCUGUCCUUAAGGCUGAGGUAGUAGAUUGAAUAGUUGUGGGGUUUGUGUCCUCCCUCUGAGAUAACUAUACAAUCUACUGUCUUUCCUAAGGAGACAGGUUGAUCUGCUGUGAUGCCAAAAAGACAAAGCUUCAUGGAUAAAAUAACUUAUGGACUGAACAAAUAUUAAAGAGAUAACCCAUCCUUCACCUUUGAAGAAGAGACUGCAAGCACAAGAAAAACUUUAUAUAUUUACCAGAUGUAGCAGUGAAACUUGUUUACUUAAAACGUUCUAAAGAAGACUUUUUUUUUAGGAUAUGUAUUUGUGCUUGAAGUUGAGCCUAGCAAGGUGAGGUAGUAGGUUGUAUAGUUUGUGGGAUGGAGUGAAUCCUACUCAGGUGAUAACUAUACAGUCUAUUACCUUUCUUGAGAGGUACAAUGAGUGCUUGGAAUUAAGCUCACUCACACAGACUGAGUGAAGGAGCCACUUUGAUGCCAUCUUGUGGCCAAAGACUAACAUCACUCUGGAACAUUUUCUGGACCCCUGAACCUGUAUUGUGUGUAUCUGGUGUUUUGAAGUGUGAAAAAUGACCAUAAAUGAGUUAUAAGUGACAAUAAUUUGUGAUUUAAGACGAGACAACACAACAUAACCUGUACAAGUCUUUGAUCAGCAUUAUAUUAAAUGGGAUGUAUCAUG